AUGCAACCGGGGAAGCCAUGGUCGUCCAUCUCCUCACCCCCCCCCCCGGCGUUCUGCAACCGGCGAGGUUGGAGGUUGGUGCUGCAAUUUGCUGCAACCAGCACCGAGAAAGCUACCACCGGCGCCGGAAUUUGCUGUAACCAGGAUCCACAUUUUUUGAGUGAUUUUUUUUGCCGCAACCAGUCCAAAAAUUUGCUACCAUCGUUUUGCUUUUUGCUACCACAGUUGGCUGUCCGUCUUUUGAUUUUUUUGCUUAAUCAGAUCCAUCUUUUUGCUGGAACUACUCAAAAAAUUGUUACCAUGGUCUUUGAUUUUUGCUACCGCUGUCUUAGUUUUUGCUCCCACCUUGUUUUUGAAUUUUUGCUGGAUCCAUCUUAUUUUGCUGGAACCUCUCCAAGUUUUGCUACAACGGUGUUUGAAUUUUGCUACAACCGUCUUCGUUUUUUGCUACACCCCAUUUAUGAUAUUUUUGCUAGAUCAAUCUUUUUUGCUGGAACCACUCAAAGAGAGAGAGAGAAAGAAGGCUGUAAAUGGCGUGGAGGGAGCUGCAAAUAA
rnacentral:rRNA from 1 species